GCGAGCGUCGCCUAGUUGGUUAAGGCGCCAGAUUGUGGAUCUGGAGAUCACGGGUUCAAGUCCCGUCGCUCGCCCCA
rnacentral:tRNA from 1 species